UUACGGCCAUAUCUCAUUGAAUCAUCGGAUCUCGUCCGAUCACCGAAGCUAAGCAACGUCGAGCCUGGUCAGCACCUAGAUUGCUGACUUCUUGGAUAUACCAGGUGCAGUAAG